rnacentral:rRNA from 1 species
UACGUAGGAGGCGAGCGUUAUCCGGAUUUACUGGGCGUAAAGAGCGCGUAGGUGGCUCUGUAAGUUGGGCGUGAAAGCCCCCGGCUUAACUGGGGAGGGUCGUUCAAUACUGCAGGGCUUGAGGGUGGAUGAAGAGACUGGGAUUCCCGGUGUAGUGGUGAAAUGCGUAGAUAUCGGGAGGAACACCUGUGGCAAAGGCGAGUCUCUAGGCCACUCCUGACACUGAGGCGCGAAAGCGUGGGGAGCAAAC